CAACGGGUGCGAGUCCCGUCUCGGUAAGCGCCGGAGCGCCGAGUAGCAGGGUCCAGCUACGACUCGAAAGGGACGUGGCCGAGCGGAUCGUCGAGAGCCUCAUAGGAGGGAGCAACGAAGCAGGCCGCAACACAG
rfam:Betaproteobacteria bacterium RIFCSPLOWO2_12_FTLL_65_14 rifcsplowo2_12_scaffold_2489, whole genome shotgun sequence.